UACGUAGGGUGCAAGCGUUAAUCGGAAUUACUGGGCGUAAAGCGUGCGCAGGCGGCUUUGCAAGACAGAUGUGAAAUCCCCGGGCUCAACCUGGGAACUGCAUUUGUGACUGCAUGGCUAGAGUACGGUAGAGGGGGAUGGAAUUCCGCGUGUAGCAGUGAAAUGCGUAGAUAUGCGGAGGAACACCGAUGGCGAAGGCAAUCCCCUGGACCUGUACUGACGCUCAUGCACGAAAGCGUGGGGAGCAAACGAGG
rnacentral:rRNA from 1 species